AAGGGGGCCGAUGAGACGCGUGCGAGGCAACCGGCGGUCCAGGGGAUCCAGCCAAGGCGAGGCAUCUGAGGGGAUCCGGCGCUCGACCGGCUGCCUGGGUACUCUUGUAGGGAAACCAGUUCUUCUCGAUGGUGCUCCAGCAACUGCAUAAUUCAGGCUGGAGGUGAUGGAGGGCAUUGUACAAGAGGACAUGUGUAUGGGAACAACAAUACACCAGGUAAUGUUGUUGGCGAUGGUCAAUUGAUUUGAGCAUAUUUGGAGACUGGUAGGUGUGCGGCCGUACUGCCCGAGUCACCAUCUGAGAGAGCAUCCCAGAGGAGAUGGAGCUCCAGAGGAUUUUGUACAUAGAGCAACUUCCUCUUCAUCUAGCUGAUCUUUUCUCGAAAACUUGAGCAAUUGGACUUAUGCACUUGUCCCUUAGAAUCAAUGGCCACAGCCUCUUGCGUAUUCAGUCCCACUCUUCGUUCACCCAAUAUGUCUAUUUCCAAAUAUUCACGUCCUUGGUUCUCUCCCAUCUGACCUGCGACUAAAACUAAAAUUAAUAUGUGCAACUAACAAUGGGGCAUCUCAUGAGAAUGGAGUUGAAACAAUCGGUGUACUGAUGGACAUGUUAUUUUUUUAUUGCAUACUUGUUUACUUUGGACCUCCGUCCUGAA